AUCAACUUUCGAUGGUAGGAUAGAGGCCUACUAUGGUGGUGACGGGUGACGGAGAAUUAGGGUUCGAUUCCGGAGAGGGAGCCUGAGAAACGGCUACCACAUCCAAGGAAGGCAGCAGGCGCGCAAAUUACCCAAUCCCGACACGGGGAGGUAGUGACAAUAAAUAACAAUACGGGGUUCUUUCGGAUUUCGUAAUUGGAAUGAGUACAAUUUAAAUCUCUUAACGAGGAACAAUUGGAGGGCAAGUCUGGUGCCAGCAGCCGCGGUAAUUCCAGCUCCAAUAGCGUAUAUUAAAGUUGCUGCAGUUAAAAAGCUCGUAGUUGAAUUUCGGGACCAUCAUGUCGGUCGUGCCUCGGUACGUACUGGCAUUGUUGGUUUCUCCCUUCUGACGAACCAUGAUGUCAUUUAUUUGGUGUUAUGGGGAAUCAGGACUGUUACUUUGAAAAAAUUAGAGUGUUUAAAGCAGGCUCACGCUUGAAUACAUUAGCAUGGAAUAAUGAAAUAGGACGUUUGAUUCUAUUUUGUUGGUUUCUAGGAUCGACGUAAUGAUUAAUAGGGAUAGUUGGGGGCAUUAGUAUUCAAUUGUCAGAGGUGAAAUUCUUGGAUUUAUUGAAGACUAACUACUGCGAAAGCAUUUGCCAAGGAUGUUUUCAUUAAUCAAGAACGAAAGUUAGGGGAUCGAAGACGAUCAGAUACCGUCGUAGUCUUAACCAUAAACUAUGCCGACUAGGGAUCGGAUGAUGUUAAUUUUUUAAUGACUCAUUCGGCGCCUUACGGGAAACCAAAGUGUUUGGGUUC
rnacentral:rRNA from 1 species